UCAAACUUCCUCCUUCAGCUCAGCUCUCCAACAUUAACUCUGCUCAACAUGCUGUCUCUGCUCACAUCUGGAUUCUCUCUGCUGGUUCUGAUCACUGGAUCAGCUGUAAACUGUCAACAACUCACUGCAGGGAAGACUGAGGAGUUCAGUUCAGAGGGCAGCUCUGCUACUCUGACCUGCAGUUACACCAAAGAUUCAGCUGAUUAUUUAUUCUGGUAUCGACAAAAUCCAGGAAAACAUCCAGAGUUCCUGAAGUCUCACUCACCUUCAGGUGGAGCAGAAAGUCUGGACAGGAUGACAUUUAAAGGAAGCAACGAAGAAAUGUCCAUCACGAUCUCCUCUGCUGCAGUGACAGACUCUGCUGUGUACUACUGCGCUGUGCAGCCCACAGUGACAGGAAACACCAGAACCCUGUACAAAAACCUGCAGUACUCCACAGCGGCCACUAGAGGGCCUCUCUACUUCAAUCCCUUCCUAGCAUUCAGACCUGACAGUUUCAGCUACUGGGCUGCACAUCAGUCGCUCCAGGUAGCAGCAGCUCUUCGGUUCAUCAGGAUGUUGCUGCUGAAAUGGUUCUCCAGUGGUUUCCUUUCACUGCGUUUCACCUAA